rnacentral:rRNA from 1 species
AUUGAACGCUGGCGGCAUGCCUUACACAUGCAAGUCGAACGGUAACGCGGGGCAACCUGGCGACGAGUGGCGAACGGGUGAGUAAUGUAUCGGAACGUGCCCAGUUGUGGGGGAUAACUGCUCGAAAGAGCAGCUAAUACCGCAUACGACCUGAGGGUGAAAGCGGGGAAUCGCAAGACCUCGCGCAAUUGGAGCGGCCGAUAUCAGAUUAGGUAGUUGGUGGGGUAAAGGCUCACCAAGCCGACGACCUGUAGCUGGUCUGAGAGGACGACCAGCCACACUGGGACUGAGACACGGCCCAGACUCCUACGGGAGGCAGCAGUGGGGAAUUUUGGACAAUGGACGCAAGUCUGAUCCAGCCAUGCCGCGUGCGGGAAGAAGGCCUUCGGGUUGUAAACCGCUUUUGUCAGGGAAGAAAAGGCUCCUUCUAAUAUAGGGGGCUCAUGACGGUACCUGAAGAAUAAGCACCGGCUAACUACGUGCCAGCCGCCGCCGUAA